UUUUGAUCUCUUUACUGUAGGUUCAACUCCUACUUUUCUA
rnacentral:tRNA from 1 species